rnacentral:lncRNA from 1 species
UUUGAGAAUAAAUUUUAAUAAGGUAUUAUAUAACACAAAAUACAGAGGAAUACAUUACUGAGAAUUCUUGUGAUAAACACCUCAGUAUUCUGACAAAAGCUUCUUCUGAAAAGAGCUUUGAACAAAUUUAUAGCAAGAACUAAUUAAUUAAUACGCAAAAAAUAUUUGCUUUAGAAAUCACCAACAGUUUCUCUAGGAAGCAUUCCCCAAAGCCUUUGAAAUUAUUUCAUUUACAAAAAAAGUUUAUAAAAACACAUAAUGCAUGAAAUAAAAUGUCAGAGUUCCCAUCAUGGCUCAGCAGAAAUGAAUGUGACUAGCAUCCAUGAGGACAGAGGUUUGAUCCCUGGCCCUGCUCAGUGGAUUAAGGAUCCGGCGUUGCCGUAAACUGUGGUGUAGGUUGCAGAUGCAGCUCGGAUUCUGCACUGUUUGGGCAGUGGUAUAUAGGCCGGCAGCUGUAGCUCAAAUUCCACCCCUAGCCUGGGAACCUCCAUAUGCCGCAGUGCAGCCCUAAAAAGCAAAAAAAUAAAAAAAUUAAAAAAAAAUAAUAAUAAAAAAAUAAAAAAGCUUCAUACUUAAAAAGAUCACUGCUUCCCAGAAGUUCCAGAAGCAGGAGAGAUGGUGGAAGAGGUGAAAUAAAGGAGAUUUUUAGAGCAGUAAACUAUUCUGUAUGACACUGUAAUGGUGAGUAUGUGACAAUAUGCAUGUGUUAAAAUCCACAGUCCUUUAUGAUACAAAGAAUGAACCUUAAUAUAUUUAAAUUUUAAAAAUUACUAUGACCAAAGAAUCUAUUACAAAUGUUUGAAUCACUAAAAGGAGUAAGAUAGUAAGGUCUCAAACUAAAUAAUUCUGGAAAUGAGUGGUAUCUGUAAAACAAAAAGACUUGCACUUGAGGACUAUGCUUUAGUUGAUUAAGGUAUUUCCCAUAGGGACAUGGGUUAAAAAUUCUAAUGCUAUACAACUGAAAAAUUAAAGAAACAGAUGGCAAACAGAGCAAAGUUUGUCACUGUUGGGAAUUUACAAAUAAGUAAGGGGAAGUGGUUAAAAUGGUCCAUCCAUGUGGGUAAUAUACAAAAAAACCUCAGAGAGAUCUAGCGUUUGGUUCUAGAGCACUGCAAUAAAGUGAAUACCACAAUAAAGAGAGAGAAAUUUUUUGGUUUCCCAGUGCUUAUAAAAGCUAUAUUUACACUACACUACAGUCUAUUAAGUGCGCAAUAUACCAUUACACUGAGGAGAAGCAGCAUGUAACUUAAUUUUAAAAUACUUGACUGCUAAAGAAUGUUAACCAUUAUCUGAGCCUUUAGUGAGUUGUAAUCUUUUUUGCUGGUGGAGGGUUUGAAAUAUUGAGAGAAUUACCAAAAUGUGACAAAAACAUACAAAAUGAGCAAAUGUUGCCGGAAAAAUGUUGCUAAUAAACUUGUUCAAUGUAAGGCUGUCACAAAUCCUCAAUUUAUAAAAAAUGUAGUAUCUGCCAAAUGCAAUGAAACAAAAUACACCUGUUCUGGAUUAAGGGUAGAGUCAAAAUAUGAACUCAUGUUUAGUUUGGUGCAGAUACAUAUGAUUUAUAGAAAAAUGUGUAUAGAUACACAGGCUAGUAUACACGUAUAUAUUUUCUUGCUCUAUCAGUUGAGAUAACAAAAUAAAAGCAACAGCAACCUAGUAUCAUUGAGCACUCAUAGCACCCAAAUACUGGUUUCUAAUACUAUUUUCUAAUAAAGGGAACUGAGGUCCCUUACAGAAGGCUGAUUCUAGGACUGGGACAGGAAAAUACAAGAUGAGUCUGGAUUAUUUUGAAAGUGCCAAAAAGUAAGAAAGUGCUCAGAAAACAAAUAUGCACUACAGAGGGAGUUCCCAUUAUGGCUUAGCAGAAACGAACCCAACUAGUAUCCAUGAGGACAUAGGUUCAAUCCCUGGCCCUGCUCAAUGGGUUAAGAAUCCAGAGUUGCCAGGAACUGCGUGAGAUACAGGUCACAGACGCAGCUUGGAUGUGGCAUUGCUGUGGCUGUGGCGCAGGCUGGCAGCUGUAGCUCCGAUUCAAUUCCUAGCCUGGGAAUUUCCAUAUGCUGCAGGUGUGGCCUUGGAAGGGGAAAAAAAAAAAAAAGCAUGAGUAAAUAAAUAAAUAAAAAUAUGCACAACAGUAAUAUGCCACCUUAAUGGGACACAGGAACCAAGAGAAAGGAUCCCAGUGGCUAAUGCUGAAACAAUUUGAAUAGUAAAACAAUUUAGUACUACCCAAGGUGUAAAAAUAAAUAUGUAUGAGUCUAUAUUGAUAUAAACAACUGAAUAAAUGAAUGAGAAAAAUAAUCUCCCAUGCAGAAUUUCAAAUAACUUAUGUGGAUGCUCUACUCUUUAAGUCCAGACUAUGCAGUGAUUUCUUUCCAAACAAUACAAUAAGGAAAGUAGAGGGAGAAUAACUUUACAAUGAGAAACUUGACAAAAACUUGACCAAGGUCACUAUCAACAGCAAUGAAUAACAGUAUAUCCCUUGGAAUGAAAUGAUAAAAAUGGCACUUUACCUCUACAGUCUUCCUCCUCAAAAUCCACAAUCAUGAGGAAAACAUCAGACAUAUUACAAUACAGAGCCAUCUAUAAUACCUAACCAAUAUCCCUUGAAAUUACCACAACCAAGAGAAGCCUAAGGAAACAUGAGAAUUAAAGGAAAUGUAGUAUACUGAAUGGGAUUCCGGAACAGAAGGCUAUUAGAUAAAAAACUAAGAAGCUCAAUAAAGUGUGGACUUUAAUAUAUUUUUAUAUAUUAUGUAUGUUAGCUAUAUUGCAUAUAAUUAAAAUACAUCAAUUUACUAAUUACAACAAAUAUACUAAUGUAAGAUAUUAACAGCUAUGCAGAGUAUAUGA